UUGCCAUGAUGACAAUCUUAGGACACCUUUGGAAUAACCAUGAAAAAAACUUGUAUUCUGAGCAAC
ensembl:snoRNA SNORD58 Small nucleolar RNA SNORD58